rnacentral:rRNA from 1 species
GUCCACGCCCUAAACGAUGUCUACUAGUUGUCGGGUCUUAAUUGACUUGGUAACGCAGCUAACGCGUGAAGUAGACCGCCUGGGGAGUACGGUCGCAAGAUUAAAACUCAAAGGAAUUGACGGGGACCCGCACAAGCGGUGGAUGAUGUGGAUUAAUUCGAUGCAACGCGAAAACCUUACCUACCCUUGACAUGGAAGGAAUCCCGAAGAGAUUUGGGAGUGCUCGAAAGAGAACCUUUAACAGGUGCUGCAUGGCUGUCGU